rnacentral:lncRNA from 1 species
CGUAACUCUCCCUGCCAUAGACACAGAACUAGGAGGAACGGGAAAUUUCAAAGGAUAUACCUUUGAAUUAACCUUAUGGGAGCGUUUGACCUCUUGCACGUUGGCUAACUACCAUGAAAAGAGCGAGCCCCAAGCAACCACUGGUGUCAGAACAAGAGACCUCAACCCGACCUGCCACUUGGAGGAGAGCCGCCUCAGCCAGCUCACACACCGGGUUGCCUCCACCUUGAGCACACGUGUGGGAGCGAACAAGGGAAGUCAGCAUAGGAAGAG